rnacentral:lncRNA from 1 species
UCACGCUCGUCAGAUGUUGGCCUGGAGAUACGUAGCAGUGCGGCAUGCUGAGGUUUGACCGCAGACGGCAAGGCCUCUGUUGCAAGCGGAACUGUCAAGUUGCAUAGGCUGGUUCAUGUUUUUCUCCAGAGCUUUUCUCGAGUCAAGCAGUGAGCGAUCGAUUGUGACAAACUAGAAGGUAAGACUAGCAUGCUUCGCGGUACGAGGUGACGAGACGCUAGCUGUUCGUCUAUAAUAAGUAGCACCCGUCACCGCCAGGUAUAAGUAUUUAUCGUCUUAAUGAAAUUCCUGUUACUAACUUCGUCAGCGUGGAGCUUUCUUCGGUCCAAUAGUGGCUGAGUCGAAGGUUGUGCUGCUGCCGACUCAAACUUCCGGCUUCCCUAUCCAACCCCUGGUAUGGAAUCCGAAUGUCUGAUACGGGAGCUGUUCAAUCUCCGGCUUAGCAUCUCUUGGACUGAAGGGAGCUCCCCGCUGUAUAAGCUUGAUUCGGUAUGUAGAGCGUACCAAGGUUCUUGAUCUACAAUCGUCUGUCUUGAUUUCAUCCUUGAUAUGGAUAAAAACAUGAUGAACCCUGGAUAAAAGGGGAUAACUGGAUCCCCUGCAGAACUAUGGAGUCCCAACACACAAUCAAGGUGCUGGUCGUUUGUUUUCGCAUUUUACGCAAGAAAUUUGAAAAUGGGUUGCCUAGAGCAGCUGGUUCCGUAUGUCGUCAGUCACAUCCUCAUCCAUGGCAGCUUCUGAGUGGUUGCAGUUAGUGUACAUGCACAAUCUAUUUGAGCAGUUUUCGUACUCCAGCACUUGAUGCCAUUUUCCAACGGUUCUGCACACUCCCUUGGGAUCUGAUACUUGGGCGUCCAAAGGUUUGGACUUGUUAAAAUGUCCAUCGGAGGAUCUCAGUUUUGUUUCUUCAGAGCGCGUCUAGGAAGUUGAAUACAAAGAGGCUUCAGAACUUCUGGUGUCGAUUUCAGGGGCUUCACAGAACUAGUUUGUUUCGUAAUUGCGUAUUUCCACUAGUUUUGCACAAUGCUAGAGUCUACUAUCUUCAUCUACUCGGCUUACUAUGUGUGUCGAAGAGAGAACCGCUGGUUCCAGCUUCAAUCAGGUAGAGUUUUACUUUAGUGUCUGAGAUUACGUCGGGAUAUGAAAAACCUGUGAUAGACCACGUAACAAUAUAUCGUGAUGUGUCAUUUGUGAGGAGGAAAUCUUGUGACUUCACAGCUCCUAUAUAACAGACCUCUCUGCUAAGAAUCCUUCUGGAGAAGAGUGUACAAUGAUACUCUAAAAGCAACCGUUCCAUCUACAUUGUGUUUAUAAUCAGUUUGUGGCAGCAGUAACAGUCCUGCUGGAGGAGCAGAACCCAGCAGUCUCAGUAACAGUUUCUAUAUCUGUCUUAUCUGGAGGGUUUGGAUGGUGGUACUCUCGAAAUGUUUCAGGCUAUUCACCUACGUGUUACUCUUCGGAUGGCUUUGUACUAAUAAAAGCUCUGAAACCCGUUCACUUCCUCUUUGCUGUUGCAUUUUUUAAUCCAAGUGCGCGACUUUCUGCAGCUGAAGUUACGGAUUAAGCAUUCGUGGUCCAUUCUUUGAUGAGCCUCUAGAUCCACCAUUGCCGAUGGAAUUUGAAUUUUUGUUUUCCACCCGAACUCAAAUUAUGUAGUUCAAGUACUUCCUAGUCCUCGUCACGCAUGGUAAUGCAUGCUGGGAUAAUAGCGCAUGCGGCCAGAUUGAAGAUCGUACACAUGACUGCUGUCGCUUGUAGGGUAGUAUACACAUAUCUCGUGGCAGAAUUGCCUGUUUGUCAGCUGCCACCACAGCAAUAUCAUCUGAAAAUAUAUUCGCAACUUGAGAUUUCUCCUACAAUUAUUUUCAUCAGUUCACACGUGGGACCGUAAAAAUAAGUGCAGUAUUUGAGAUAUGGAUUGCCGGCCAAUUGUUGAUUGAUGGCAUGUCUAGUACCUGGUUGUAUUUUCUCGUAAGUGGUUUCUAAUAGGAGACAUGUGUACAAGUCUAAGGCUUGCACUCUAACUGUGAUACACAUAGUGAAUUACAUGAAGAAUUAUAUUUGUUACCUAACUAUAAUCCCUUCCAGUCCCACUUGUCCAGUGCUGAAAAAAACGAAUUAGAUGUUCUAUGUGCAUGAGAUCGGAUUGUCUGUCAUCACCCCCACUAAAUAUGACCUCAGCGACUGCUGAACAUGUCGUGAAACAAGGUCGUCUUUUCGCUGCACCGAAUAGCAGCAGCCAGAUCGCCAAACACUCUACAAUAAUCGAAUAUUGCUUAAUGUGUGAUUCGUUGUCUGUCACCCUAUAAUUCAUAGCAUUGCAGCAACCACCACAGCCUAGAUUCUACUCACAAUCAACACACUACCUGAGUCUAGGACUUUACAACAGAGAUA